rnacentral:lncRNA from 1 species
UACCUUGUUGGUAGUCAAAUCGGAACAACCUUUUCUUCAUCAGGAGCUUGUUCUGACCACUCUUCUUCAAAAACUUGUCCUCCAAUGCCUUCCACAGUUUGUGUGCAGAAGUCUCAUUUUUUACAGCAUACUUCUGCUCUCUAGACAGGCAGGAUCGAAUAGUUCUGCAUGCCAACCGGUUGAUGAUGCUCCAGUCUUUCUCCUCUACCUCUUCUGGUUUCUCUCCUUCAAUAGCAAUAUCAAGACCA